UAUCUGGUUGAUCCUGCCAGUAACAUAUGCUUGUCUCAAAGAUUUAGCCAUGCAUGCCUCAGUACUUUGCUUAUAUAUGGUGAAACGCGAAUGGCUCAUUAAAUCAGCUAUGGUUCCUUGGAUCAUGAUAAUACUACACGGAUAACUGUAGUAAUUCUAGAGCUAAUACGUGCCUCGAUGCUCUGAUCCGCAAGGUGAGGGGCGCAUUUGUUAGAUCGCAAAUCAAACGGCCUCGGUCGUAUGUGUGUGGUGACUCUGGAUAAUUUUUGUAUGAUCGCAGUCGGCCUUGUUGUCGGCGAUGGAUCAUCAAAUAUCUCCCUAUCAACUUUCGAUGGUAGGUGAUAUGCUACCAUGGUUAUGACGGGUAACGGGGAAUCAGGGUUCGAUUCCGGAGAGGGAGCCUGAGAACGGCUAGCACAUCACAGGAG
rnacentral:ncRNA from 1 species